AUAUCAGUAGAAAAUUUGGCUCCUUCAGCAUAAUUGGGGGUUGCGCCACUGACGAUAGCCGCACCGCUUCAACCCUUCGGUUCCCCCACCAAUGCCAACACUCAACCCCCAUCUCGCAGAACAACAGCCCCGUAGGAAACCAGCGCAACACUCAACCCCACCCACACGACCGUAAACCAAUAAAACCAGCCCCACGAGUUACCAACGCAACCUCUGCUAUUGCCCUCCUGAAAUAGAGCACGACUCUUCCUCCAAGCACGCUAAACAGAAAACGACCUGAAUAAACCUCCACCGCCACACGUUUUCCACACCAACUGCGUUCCUACACCCAUAACACGAACACGGAAGCCUCUGUUUUUAAGCAUGAAGAACACAGCAUGGCCCACUGUCGACUACACCCAUGGGCCAUGCCCACGUACACCGUCCUUGAUUCUGCCAUCGCCACACCGUGGAAGCUAGCCUCACCUUGUAUGCUUCAACACUACCGCUCCUAGCACCCGUCCUGGUCGGUAACCACCAUACUCAACCACAAGGAAGUCCCCUGUAAAGCCCAGGCCCGAGGCCAGUUUAGAGUAGCCCAGCCAUUAAGACCAUAUUUUGGCAUCGUUUUGGUGACGAGACUAAUAGAGGUCGAAUUCAAGGCAUAGAUAAUAUGCUGUAGGAGUCAAGUAAGCGGGGUUGCUAUGCUAGAUUUGCAUAAAAAUAAAUAAAUGAACUGAGGUUGGUUUGUAAAAAUGUGCAUGUUAUAUUUUGAAAAAAAUAAACGUCAAAACAACCUCGGUUAUAUGUUUUGCAUUCACCCAUGAAAUCUAUAUGAAAGAGAAAAUAUUUUUUGACAUGAAAAGUGUAAACAUGAGCAAUAUUUGACAUGUUUAUAAAACGCGCAAAAGAGCUAAUAUGAAAAUUGAGAUUUUUAUACAUGUUAUAUGGAAUGUGUUGGAUAUGUUGUUGAUCAUUAGAAAAUGAUAUGAAUGUGUUCAUUACGUGCUUUGAUUUAAUAUAAAUAUGUAAAACCUUUGGCAUAUUUAUCUAUUUUUAUUCUGAUUCUGAAUAUAGUUCUAAUAUGAUGAUACUGGUUCACGUGAUAUGGUUGGUACCAAUAUGAUAUGAUAUGAGUGCAACCACUUUGGAAACAAAGUGGUCUUUUAUUUGUUCUUCCCUGUAUGCAGACUCAGGGCUCCAAGAUUGAAAAAGGGAAAUUUUCACAAUAUGAUACUGCCUGGUUUGGUAACGGGGGAUAACACAAUCCUACCACGGGGGUUAAACAUGAUCAUGAGGAUGGUUGAGCUGAGGAUCAAGAAUAGAAAUUUGUGAAUGUGGAUGUGGAUGAUUCAGAUGAUGGGAAUAGAGUAUUGGAUACUUUAGGGUACUGUUAAUAGAAGGACGUUCUGUUGUUUCUUAGAUUUGUUAUUGUUUUUUGGACUUAGUAAGACUGAAGGAUGUUUCAAUUAUUUUUGUUGGGACUAAUGGGAAAUUGUGGACCCUUUGAUUUAUGUUAUUCAUGGAAAUGACUAUAUGGACAUCAUUAUUCGUUAAUUGUGGAAAAUAUGAUAUUGUUUAUUGUUUUCAAA